rnacentral:misc_RNA from 1 species
AUCCACGACUACGACGUCAAGAUGAAGAACGUGGUGAAGUUCCUCGAGAACGGCGACAAGGUAAAGGUCACGCUACGAUUCCGCGGACGUGAAAUGGCGCACCAGAACCUCGGUCGCAACCUGCUCGAGCGGGUGGCGGAGGACGUGAAGGAGAUCGGCAAGGUCGAGAACAUGCCGAAGAUGGAAGGCCGUCAGAUGGUCAUGAUGAUCGGUCCCACCGUCAAGUAGGAGCCGGCCAUCGAAUGUUGACGAAGGGGCGCCAAAGGCGCCCUUUUUCGUGGCCGACUCCGAAGCGGCGAUCACAGA